GAUGAAGAACGUAGCGAAAUGCGAUAAGUAAUGUGAAUUGCAGAAUUCCGUGAAUCAUCGAAUCUUUGAACGCACAUUGCGCCCCCUGGUAUUCCGGGGGGCAUGCCUGUCCGAGCGUCAUUGCAACCUUCAAGCGCGGCUUGUAUGUUGGGUCUCGUCCCCCGUGGACGGGCCCGAAAGGCAGUGGCGGCGUCCCGACAUGGUGCCCGAGCGUAUGGGAAUCCUCUUCCGCUCGAAUCGGCCCAUGCGGCGCUGGUCGUAACCAAAUUUUUUACCGGUUGACCUCGGAUCAGGUAGGGAUACCCGCUGAACUUAAGCAUAUCAAUAAGCGGAGGA
rnacentral:misc_RNA from 1 species